AGUGUUCGUACAUUCGAGAUAUCCGCUUCCGAACAUCGACUUCGCGCUCAAUUUGAGCAUCUUCAAAUGUUUGCUCUCGAAAUUUGGCUUUUCUGAGAAUUUUGUUGCACCCAGGAGUAGGGCAUUGAGCAGGUCCAGUUGUAAAUAUUCUCUAUGAAUUAGCAAAUCAUGCUUCAUUUCUUAUUUGUAUUAACAAAUGCAAUCAAACAUACGUCUACACAAGACUCACACAUCUUGUGAUAGCACUCAGGGUUUAUAAGUAAUUUCAUAUUUGGAUUUAAAUAUCUGUCCGCCUGGCACAACGGACAUUUUUCAUCUAUAUGUCUCGGUCAGCUUUAAAAUAAAUCAGGUAAUUAAUUAAUGCUUACCAACUUUCCUAGCACCUUCAUCGUCCAUCUUUCUUUUAUAGUUUACUUUUAUUAAUUCGUAUUAUGCAGUGAACGGGAAUGACAAACGAUAAAUUCAAAGUUUCAAUCGAAUUUAUGUUGAAUAGUAAACGUUACUUUUCGGAUUGUAUAAAGAAAUAAUAUUUGGACAAAAAAAGCGCGCAAUACGUGGUGUUAAACUUUUAGAAGUAGUCGCCUUCAAUAUUACAAACACGACGACCAUCAACUCAUUCCCUAGCUACCAGCUAUCUAAAGUCUUUUGAGUCCAAAAAUACGAAAAUUUAGAUUAAUGUAAUAAUAAUUAUUGAACCAACAUAAAUAUUAACUAAAUUUGGUUCCGUUUGUCGUAUAACUUGGUAAUUUCUAUGUAUACGGGCAUGCAAUCAGAAAACUUAAUGGACAUUUACUAAAUUUGAUCAGUUUGUUAAAAAA